rnacentral:pre_miRNA from 1 species
CAAAUACUCCCUCCGUCCGAAAAUACUUGUCAUCAAAAUGGAUAAAAGGAAAUGCAUCCAGAUGUAUUUUAGUUUUAGAUACAUCUCUUUUUAUCCAUUUUGAUGACAAGUAUUUUCAGACAGAGGGAGUAGAAA